rnacentral:rRNA from 1 species
GAUGAACGGCUAGCGGCAGGCUUAACACAUGCAAGUCGAGGGGCAGCAUGAGGGUUAGCAAUAACCCUUGAUGGCGACCGGCGCAAGGGUGCGUAACGCGUGAGCAACUUGCCCGUUUCAGGGGGAUAACCGGUGGAAACGCCGACUAAUACCCCAUAGCAUCAGUUGAAGGCACCUUCUACUGAUUAAAGAAUUUCGGAAACGGAUAGGCUCGCGUGACAUUAGCUAGAUGGCGGGGUAACGGCCCACCAUGGCGACGAUCAGUAGCCGAUCUGAGAGGAUGACCGGCCACAUUGGAACUGAGACACGGCCCAA